CAAAGUUCACUUGAAAUGCAUCGGCAUGAGUUUUUGUUUACAGACUACAGUUGUUAUAUUUCAAUGUAUUAGGUUUUAUCCAUCGUUGAGCUCGACUUCUGCAGGACGUAGCAAAGUUUUUGGCUCUGCCUAACAAACUUUAUCAUAAAGUUUGACCUCAAAUCAAGUAGGACUACCCGCUGAACUUAAGCAUAUCAAUAAGCGGAGGAAAAGAAACCAACAGGGAUUGCCUUAGUAGCGGCGAGUGAAGCGGCAAGAGCUCAAAUUUGAAAUCUGGUACCUUCGGUGCCCGAGUUGUAAUUUGAAGAAGGAUAUCUUGAGUUUGGCCUUUGUCUAUGUUCCUUGGAACAGGACGUCACAGAGGGUGAGAAUCCCGUGCGAUGAGGUGUCCAAAUUCUUAUAAGAUUCCUUCGAAGAGUCGAGUUGUUUGGGAAUGCAGCUCUAAGUGGGUGGUAAAUUCCAUCUAAAGCUAAAUAUUGGCGAGAGACCGAUAGCGAACAAGUACAGUGAUGGAAAGAUGAAAAGAACUUUGAAAAGAGAGUGAAAAAGUACGUGAAAUUGUUGAAAGGGAAGGGUAUUAGAUCAGACUUGGUAUUUAGUUAUCACUUCUCCUUGUGGGUUGUGCUCUAGCUGUUUACUGGGCCAGCAUCAGUUUUGGUGGCAGGAUAAUGACAUUUGAACGUGGCUCUUCGGAGUGUUAUAGCUUUUGUUGAUACUGCCCACCGGGACUGAGGUCUGCGGCUUUUGCCUAGGAUGCUGGCGUAAUGAUCCAAUACCGCCCGUCUUGAAACAUGGACCAAGGAGUCUAACGUCUAUGCGAGUGUUUGGGUGUAAAACCCGUACGCGUAAUGAAAGUGAACGUAGAUCAGGGCCCUUUACGGGGUGCACGAUCGACCGAUCCUGAUGUUUUCAGAUGGAUUUGAGUAAGAGCAUAGCU
rnacentral:rRNA from 1 species